rnacentral:rRNA from 1 species
UACGAAGGGUGCAAGCGUUACUCGGAAUUACUGGGCGUAAAGCGUGCGUAGGCGGUUGUUUAAGUCUGUCGUGAAAUCCCCGGGCUCAACCUGGGAAUGGCGAUGGAUACUGGGCAGCUAGAGUGUGUCAGAGGAUGGUGGAAUUCCCGGUGUAGCGGUGAAAUGCGUAGAGAUCGGGAGGAACAUCAGUGGCGAAGGCGGCCAUCUGGGACAACACUGACGCUGAAGCACGAAAGCGUGGGGAGCAAACAGG